CACCUCGCAGGGUCGCACCUGUAGAGUUUCCAGUAUUCUACCAGUCUCGGCUAAGGGAGGGAGAGUCAAGCAGAGAUUUACCUGCUCCAUUCCUAGCCUGCCCAGUGGCUAGCGAGUGGAAGGCAAUCUGCUACAAGU